rnacentral:rRNA from 1 species
ACCCAUUGCAAGUUCGAACGAACGACUAUUAACAGAACCUUUCGGGGCGAAGAUGAUAGAAGUUAGUGGCGGACGGGUGCGUAACGCGUGGGUAAUCUGCCUUUGUCAAAGGAAUAACUAUUCGAAAGAAUAGCUAAAACCGUAUAACAUAUUAAUAGGGCAUCCUAAUAAUAUCAAAACGAUAGUGGACAAAGAUGAGCCCGCGUCUGAUUAGCUAGUUGGUGAGAUAAAAGCCCACCAAGGCAACGAUCAGUAGCCGACCUGAGAGGGUGAACGGCCACAUUGGAACUGAGACACGGUCCAAACUCCUACGGGAGGCAGCAGUGGGGAAUAUUGCACAAUGGGGGGAACCCUGAUGCAGCAACGCCGCGUGAGUGAAGAAGGCAUUCGUGUCGUAAAACUCUGUAGUAGGGGAAGAAAGAAAUGACAGUACCCUAAAAGAAAGCCCCGGCUAACUACGUGCCAGCAGCCGCGGUAAUACGUAGGGGGCAAGCGUUAUCCGGAAUAACUGGGCGUAAAGGGUGCGCAGGUGGUUUAACAAGUUAGUGGUGAAAGGCAUAGGCUCAACCAAUGUAAGCCAUUAAAACUGUUUAACUUGAGUGCAGGAGAGGAAAGUGGAAUUCCUAGUGUAGCGGUGAAAUGCGUAGAUAUUAGGAGGAAUACCAGUGGCGAAGGCGACUUUCUGGACUGCAACUGACACUGAGGCACGAAAGCGUGGGGAGCAAACAGGGUUAGAUACCCUGGUAGUCCACGCCGUAAACGAUGAGUACUAGGUGUCGGGGGAAGACCUCGGUGCCGAAGUUAACACAUUAAGUACUCCGCCUGGGGAGUACGCUCGCAAGAGUAAAACUCAAAGGAAUUGACGGGGACCCGCACAAGCAGCGGAGCAUGUGGUUUAAUUCGAAGCAACGCGAAGAACCUUACCUAAACUUGACAUACCAAUGACAGCCUUUUAAUCGAGGACUUUUA